GCCGGGAUAGCUCAGCUGGGAGAGCAACAGACUGAAGCCUAUCUGGAUUCUGGAGGUCCCGUGUUCAAUCCACGGUCCUGGCA
rnacentral:tRNA from 1 species